rnacentral:sRNA from 1 species
CAACAACGAAAGGAGGUGGUCCAGUGUCUUAUUCCAAGCGCUGUCACCUCGCUGAGGCCGCCCGCUAAGCUCGAUUGAGCUUCGGACAGGGCGGUUCUCCCGCCUGGUUCAGCGAGAUUCGGAAGAGAGGCGCAUCGAGCAAAAGUUCGGUGCGCC